rnacentral:rRNA from 1 species
GAAAGAUGGUUUUGCUAUCACUUAUAGAUGGACCCGCGCCGUAUUAGCUAGUUGGUAAGGUAACGGCUUACCAAGGCGACGAUACGUAGCCGACCUGAGAGGGUGAUCGGCCACACUGGAACUGAGACACGGUCCAGACUCCUACGGGAGGCAGCAGUAGGGAAUCUUCCGCAAUGGGCGAAAGCCUGACGGAGCAACGCCGCGUGAGUGAUGGAGGGUUUCGGCUCGUAAAACUCUGUUAUUAGGGAAGAACAAAUGUGUAAGUAACUGUGCACAUCUCGACGGUACCUAAUCAGAAAGCCACGGCUAACUACGUGCCAGCAGCCGCGGUAAUACGUAGGUGGCAAGCGUUAUCCGGAAUUAUUGGGCGUAAAGCGCGCGUAGGCGGUUUCUUAAGUCUGAUGUGAAAGCCCACGGCUCAACCGUGGAGGGUCAUUGGAAACUGGGAAACUUGAGUGCAGAAGAGGAAAGUGGAAUUCCAUGUGUAGCGGUGAAAUGCGCAGAGAUAUGGAGGAACACCAGUGGCGAAGGCGACUUUCUGGUCUGUAACUGACGCUGAUGUGCGAAAGCGUGGGGAUCAAACAGGAUUAGAUACCCUGGUAGUCCACGCCGUAAACGAUGAGUGCUAAGUGUUAGGGGGUUUCCGCCCCUUA